UUAGAGUUUGAUCCUGGCUUAGAACUAACGCUGGCAGUGCGUCUUAAGCAUGCAAGUCAAACGGGAUGUAGCAAUACAUCUAGUGGCGAACGGGUGAGUAACGCGUGGAUGAUCUACCUACGAGAUGGGGAUAACUAUUAGAAAUAGUAGCUAAUACCGAAUAAAGUCAAUUAAUUUGUUAAUUGAUGAAAGGAAGCCUCUAAAGCUUCGCUUGUAGAUGAGUCUGCGUCUUAUUAGCUAGUUGGUAGGGUAAAUGCCUACCAAGGCGAUGAUAAGUAACCGGCCUGAGAGGGUGAACGGUCACACUGGAACUGAGAUACGGUCCAGACUCCUACGGGAGGCAGCAGCUAAGAAUCUUCCGCAAUGGGCGAAAGCCUGACGGAGCGACACUGCGUGAAUGAAGAAGGUCGAAAGAUUGUAAAAUUCUUUUAUAAAUGAGGAAUAAGCUUUGUAGGAAAUGACAAAGUGAUGACGUUAAUUUAUGAAUAAGCCCCGGCUAAUUACGUGCCAGCAGCCGCGGUAAUACGUAAGG
rnacentral:rRNA from 1 species